GACGAACGCUGGCGGCGUGCUUAACACAUGCAAGUCGAACGGAAAGGCCCUGCUUUUGUGGGGUGCUCGAGUGGCGAACGGGUGAGUAACACGUGAGUAACCUGCCCUUGACUUUGGGAUAACUUCAGGAAACUGGGGCUAAUACCGGAUAGGAGCUCCUGCUGCAUGGUGGGGGUUGGAAAGUUUCGGCGGUUGGGGAUGGACUCGCGGCUUAUCAGCUUGUUGGGGGGGUAGUGGCUUACCAAGGCUUUGACGGGUAGCCGGCCUGAGAGGGUGACCGGCCACAUUGGGACUGAGAUACGGCCCAGACUCCUACGGGAGGCAGCAGUGGGGAAUAUUGCACAAUGGGCGGAAGCCUGAUGCAGAAACGCCGCGUGCGGGAUGACGGCCUUCGGGUUGUAAACCGCUUUCGCCUGUGACGAAGCGUGAGUGACGGUAAUGGGUAAAGAAGCACCGGCUAACUACGUG
rnacentral:rRNA from 1 species